rnacentral:rRNA from 1 species
CACCGCCCGUCACAUCAUGGAAGUCAUUUGUACCCGAAGUAGGUGCGAUAACCGCAAGGAGUCAGCCUCCUAAGGUAUGAGUGGUAACUGGGAUG